rnacentral:rRNA from 1 species
CAGCCGCCGCGGUAAUACGGAGGGCGCGAGCGUUGUCCGGAUUCACUGGGCGUAAAGCGGGUGUAGCCGGGCUGGUAAGUCCUCCGGGAAAUCUGGUCGCUUAACGAUCAGACUUCCGGAGGAUACUGCUGGCCUAGGGACCGGGAGAGGCCGAGGGUAUUCCCGGGGUAGGGGUGAAAUCCUGUAAUCCCGGGAGGACCACCUGUGGCGAAGGCGCUCGGCUGGAACGGGUCCGACGGUGAGGGACGAAGGCCAGGGGAGCGAACCGGAUUAGAUACCCGGGUAGUCCUGGCUGUAAACGAUGCGGACUAGGUGUCGGGCAAGCUAAGGGCUUGUCCGGUGCCGCAGGGAAGCCGUUAAGUCCGCCGCCUGGGGAGUACGGCCGCAAGGCUGAAACUUAAAGGAAUUGGCGGG